UCCACCUGGGACCCCCCAAAGUUCACCUGGGACCCCCAAACCUCACCUGGGACCCCCCAAAAUUCACCUGAACACCCCAAAAUUCACCUGGGACCCCCCAAAAUCAGACGAGGCCUUUAGAAAACACCUUUAAUGGGGGCACAGGUAAUAAAUAGGGGGCUCAGGUGGGCACAGGUGGGCUCAGGUGGGCUCAGGUGUGCCCAGGUGUGCCCAGGUGCGCCCAGGUGCGCCCAGGUGUGCCCAGCUGCGCUCAGGUGCAGUUCAGGUGAUCCCAGGUGCGCUCAGGUGCGGCAGCAGAGGCCGCAGCCGCGGUUGCGGCAGCAGCCGCAGCAGAAGGAGCAGAGCGGGAAGUGGGGGCUGUGCCGGCGGCGCCGCGCCCAGGUGAGCGCCAGGUGAGGGGGCACGGCCUCGGCCGGGCCGCCGGCAGGGGUCACCUGGGGGAAGCAAAAUUCCAGGUAUGAAUCCCUGGGAACACCUGAAAUCCAGGUGAGGUUACCUGGGAACACCUGAAAUCCAGGUGUGAGUCC
rnacentral:lncRNA from 1 species